CACAUGAGAUGGUACAUGCAUGGCAUGCCGCGUUUCGCGUCCAGAUGGCGAGCUGCGCUGCGCAGAUAGCCUAUAGCCAGACACAAUCGUCCCGUCGGGGUGGUCGACCAAGGAGAGCCAUUCGUCUGCCCCAGGCGCGCACGAUGGCCACUUCGACGCUUCCCUCGCACCCAUAGUCGAAUCCACCUCUCCAGAGGAGGCCGGGGAGUCAAAAAUCUUGCUAGCAUCUGCGCCGAGCCGAUCGAGCACGCAAGCAAAAAAGCCACGUAAGUGCACAGGGUAAGGCGAGGACAGGCGCCAUGCUCCGCCUGUUCCCGCUCUCCCUCUCCGCCCAGUACCGGAGCGGUGGCCCGCCGCCGCACCGCUGCUUCGUCGACGGCGGCUCGCCGUCCCAGAGAACCGGGCCAGGGCUCCACGCCAACAACGGAUUUGGCGUUAGAGUCCGGAGGCGAGCGCUCCGCGGGGCAGACGUCCAGCCGGACACCCCGUCGUCGCGCCGGGACGGGGAUAAGCCGCUGCACGCGGAUGCGCAACAGGGGGAGGACGGCGGCGUGGAGCUGCUGGACUCGGUAAGGAAGCUGCUGCUGGAGGACGCCGAGCCGGGGGAGGAGGAGCAGGGCCAGUUCCCGAAGCGCUGGGCCAUAGUCUUCCUCUGCUUCUCCGCCUUCCUCCUCUGCAACAUGGACCGUGUAAACAUGAGCAUUGCCAUCAUGCCCAUGUCCGUGGAGUACGGCUGGAACCCGCAAACCGUCGGCCUCAUCCAGUCGUCCUUCUUUUGGGGCUACCUCCUAACUCAGAUAGCAGGAGGGAUAUGGGCAGACAAAGUUGGGGGGAAGACUGUUCUUGGUUUCGGCGUGAUUUGGUGGUCCGUCGCCACAGCUCUUACGCCUGUGGCUGCAAAGCUAGGCUUGCCAUUUCUCCUUAUUGUGCGUGCUUUUAUGGGAAUUGGCGAGGGGGUUGCCAUGCCUGCAAUGAAUAACAUACUUUCAAAAUGGGUUCCAGUAUCAGAGAGGAGCAGAUCACUGGCUCUUGUAUAUAGUGGGAUGUACCUUGGGUCAGUGACAGGACUCGCAUUUUCACCAUUCCUGAUACAUAAGUUUGGGUGGCCAUCAGUCUUCUAUUCCUUCGGCUCUCUCGGGACUGUCUGGUUCGCGACAUGGGCGACCAAGGCUUAUAGUACUCCACUUGAGGAUCCGGGGAUUAGUUCUGAAGAAAAGAAGCUUAUCAUUAGCCAAACCACAUCAGGAGAGCCUGUUACAACAAUUCCAUGGGGAGUAAUACUGUCAAAACCGCCUGUUUGGGCACUUAUAGCUUGCCACUUUUGCCAUAACUGGGGAACUUUUAUCUUGCUCACAUGGAUGCCUACAUAUUACAACCAGGUUUUGAAAUUCAACCUCACGGAGUCCAGCCUUUUCUGCGUCCUUCCCUGGCUAACGAUGGCGAUUUCUGCAAAUGUUGGUGGUUGGAUUGCAGACACACUUGUUAGUAGAGGAACAUCAGUGACAACGGUUCGCAAGAUCAUGCAAUCAAUUGGAUUCUUAGGGCCAGCCUUUUUCCUCAGUCAACUGAGCCAUAUCGAUUCACCAGCACUGGCAGUCUUAUGCAUGGCUUGUAGCCAGGGAACCGACGCAUUUUCUCAGUCUGGUCUAUACUCCAAUCAUCAAGAUAUCGGUCCUCGAUACGCUGUAAUCAUCUGACUUUAUCAUAACAUUUCAGUGGACUAUAAUCUUACAUGUUCUGUAAAGUCGUACUCCCUCUAUCACAGUUUAUAAGACAUGCACGUAUACCUAGGUGUAAAUUUGACUUAUAUAAAAUAUAUUCUUUAAAAUACAAAUUAUAUCAUUAAAAAAUAAAACAUCUAAAGUUUCUAAUGAUAUAUUUUUGUAAUAUAUGUCUCUUAUUAAGUUGGUUAAAUUAACGACCUAGAUACACGUGUCGGGCUUAUAAACUGAAACGGAGAGAGUAGUGCAUUUAUGCUACCAAAAGGUGAUGAACUUCCUGCCCCCCCACCCCAACAAAAACCACGCCGUCGCCGGAGGAGGCCAGGCCGCCGCCGCGCCCUUCUCGCCCCCUUCCUCACCACGCCGUCACCGGAGGAGGCCGCCGGGCUAAGCCCGCGCGGUGGACGGCGGCGGCGGGGCUUUCCUUCCCUCUCGCUCGACGGGAGGCGCUCGCGGUGGGGGAGGCUCGACCCCAUCUGCUGCGUUGCCUGGGGCUGCGGCGCCUUGGGCUGCUGGAUGGGCUUCGGCCGACGGAUCUUCGCCGGCGGCCUGGGGGUGUGGCAGCCUCCCUUGGCCUCCCCGCAUCUGCAUCGGGCGAAGGCGGUCUUCCCGCGGCUCCUUCGUCUGGCGUCUGGAGGAUGCUUCGGCGGCGGUGCGGUUGUCAGAUCCGGGACUGCCAGAUCCGGCCUUCUCGCGACAGCCUGGGGCUCCGGUGGUGGAUCUGGCGAUGCGGGUGCGGUGGGCUGGAUCUAGUUGGUUCGGGACGGGGUGGCAGUCCUCCCUCCCGGCUCUGGUGGUGCUCAUUGGUUGCAGCGCGGUGGUGCAGUGGUGGUGGGCGCCAGAUGAUGGCCCGGCUUGGCUGCUGGCGAGGCUUGUGGUGGCUCUUGUGUGGCGACAACGCGGUUGCCGCACGGGAGGUGAGCGGGUCAGUGGAUUGCUGCGUGUGAGGGUGAUGUCCAAGACGUUCCAGGUGAAAGCCUGCACGGUUGUUGUCCGGCCGGUGGCGGCGGCGCCCGUGGGCGUCGUUCACCUCCUUGCAGUCGUUCCCCUCCUUGCAGGCGCUGCCAUGGAGAUCUUCGACCUCCCACCAUCGGUACAAGACCUUUGGGUGAAAGCCUAAGGUCCGGUGUCGGGUCGGGCGACGGCAUCGUCCUUGUCGCUUUUCCCCUUGGGGGCGUCGCUUUGAAGCUCUUUGUUCCCGUUCGAGCAUUCCAUAGGCUGGACGCUCACAACAUUGCGGUUGGCUUGUGUCCAACCGGUGAUGCGGGUGGUUGGCGUUGCGACUUGUGCGGCGACGUUGAUGGUGGUGGUGCGUGGAGCUGGGUCGCGGCUUGUCCUUCUGAUGUUGAAGGUUUCGGUUCGCCAAUGGAUGUGCCUAUGUUUGUUCCCCGUUGUGACAGAGAAGUCGGAGCUGCGUGUGGUGGGGCCCAUGCGGCUGCGACGACUCCAUGAGGGCGUCUUCAGUGGAUGGUGCUCUUCGGAGGUUGCACUGGACCAGGUCGGCACGAGGCUUGCAACUUUUCUCCAGUGAAGCACAUCAGCAAAAUCAGAGCUGUCUGUCCUCGACGUCUCCGGUCGAUUGUAUGGCUAUGGCUGGCGAGGUCCUUGUGUGUCGUCCGUUCGGAGGGGCCUUGACGGGUUGUCAGUGGCGAAGUUGGAGUCGCCUGCUCGGGGAGAGGUGAUGAUGAUAACAUUGCGGUCUACCUCGACGGUGUCCUCUCCUCGGUGGUGUCCGUGGUCUUGUUGGUGUCAGGUCGGUCGGGUGCCCUUCUAUGUGUGUGUUGUAACGGUUUUUGCCCAGGGUGUACUACUUGGUCUCUCCAACACAGCUGGGGUUCUAGCUGGUGUAUUUGGCACAGCAGCAACAGGCUACAUCUUGCAGCACGGUCUGC